CCUACGGGAGGCAGCAGUGAGGAAUAUUGGUCAAUGGACGAGAGUCUGAACCAGCCAAGUAGCGUGAAGGAUGACUGCCCUAUGGGUUGUAAACUUCUUUUAUAUGGGAAUAAAAUGUUCCACGUGUGGGAUUUUGUAUGUACCAUAUGAAUAAGGAUCGGCUAACUCCGUGCCAGCAGCCGCGGUGAUACGGAGGAUCCGAGCGUUAUACGGAUUUAUUGGGUUUAAAGGGAGCGUAGGUGGGUGGUUAAGUCAGGUGUGAAAGUUUGCGGCUCAACCGUAAAAUUGCAGUUGAAACUGGCAGUCUUGAGUACAGUAGAGGUGGGCGGAAUUCGUGGUGUAGCGGUGAAAUGCUUAGAUAUCACGAAGAACUCCGAUUGCGAAGGCAGUUCACUGGACUGCAACUGACACUGAGGCUCGAAAGUGUGGGUAUCAAACAGGAUUAGAUACCCCGGUAGUC
rnacentral:rRNA from 1 species